UACAGAGGGUGCGAGCGUUAAUCGGAAUUACUGGGCGUAAAGCGCACGUAGGCGGCUUGGUAUGUCGGGUGUGAAAUCCCCGGGCUCAACCUGGGAACUGCAUCCGAAGCUGCCUUGCUCGAGUAUGGGAGAGGGAAGUGGAAUUUCCGGUGUAGCGGUGAAAUGCGUAGAUAUCGGAAGGAACAUCAGUGGCGAAGGCGACUUCCUGGACCAAUACUGACGCUCAGGUGCGAAAGCGUGGGGAGCAAACAGG
rnacentral:rRNA from 1 species